AAAUACCAUACAAAAGUAGAACGACGUCUUCAGCAUCCGCCUGUGAGGGCAUGUAUGCCACUUCAGUCUAGAACCAGCAGAAAACAGAAAAGUGCCUGUCAUACAAAGACUUUUGAAACAAUGCAAAGUUGUUUCUAUAAGACCCAAAAAUUCUCACCAACAUGGCUGCUUAACCAUGACUUGAACAAGGACAACACCGAUGUCAUUCAGGCAUGUACUGACAGGAGAAGAUUGCGCACCUGCAGUCUCUUAUGGAAACACUGGGUGCUUCCAUGUGCCCUGCAGUAUCUGUGAUAUUUGGAGUCCUGUAGUGAGGAGUACAGAAACGAACUGGGAACGGUGUAAGCACAGUGCCGAUGAGUGGGGGAGGUGUAUUGAUUAGAAGAGAAAAUGAACUACACUUCAGAGACUCAGAAGUGUCUAUCGCUCCAUCUCAGCAGCCAUCACUUCAUCACAUGCAUUUGAGAUGCUAUUGAUAAAAUUAUACCUUAACUCAGACAUGAACCAAGCUGAAACGAAAGACAGCCUGGGAGAAACUCAUGGUUAACACGGAACCAAAGGAGGCAGAUACGGCAGGGUGUGUGGUAUAAGCUUCGAAACUGGAUAAGAACCUAUACUGUAAUAGUCUGCUUGUCUCUGCAGGGUAGGAAACACUGGGAAUUGGGAGGAGUUCUGAGAAGACCUUCAAACAUGGCAGACCUGCUUUAUUUCUCUGUCUGAGUAUUGGUUACAUGGAGGUGCUGCAUCAUUCGUAGCAAUCCGUCAAAAUCUGUAUCUGUAAUUUUUUCAAUCUUCUAAAUAUAUGCUACUUUUUAAUAAAAAUAUAUUACAAUCUAAAACCAAA